rnacentral:rRNA from 1 species
UACGUAGGGGGCAAGCGUUGUCCGGAAUCAUUGGGCGUAAAGCGCGUGUAGGCGGCUUGGUAAGUCCGCUCUGAAAGCCCGGGGCUCAACCCCGGGAGGCGGGUGGAUACUGUCAAGCUCGAGUCCGGAAGAGGCGAGUGGAAUUCCUGGUGUAGCGGUGAAAUGCGCAGAUAUCAGGAGGAACACCAAUGGCGAAGGCAGCUCGCUGGGACGUGACUGACGCUGAGACGCGAAAGCGUGGGGGAGCAAACAGG